AAUUUCACUGGUCAACUUCAAGUGAUGGUUAUUUCAUUAUAUGCAAUGAAAUACUAUGUAAAUUUUACCUUUAAUAUUGGACAGAAUACAACUUUACUCAUGCAAUUUUAUUUUAUUUGAAACACAGAUAAAUAUGCACAUUUCUUUUGUGUAAACAAAGAUUAAUAGGGGAAAUCAAUGGUGGAUAUAUACCUAUACGUUUCCCUUAUAUAAAAUAAAUAUCAAUACAAAUUGUAUACUUCUUUCCGACUGACUGAGCUGCAAUGAGAAAAUCGUCAAUUUUAAAGCCUUACCUCAGAUUUUAAAAUUAAUAUGGG
rnacentral:lncRNA from 1 species